AUUGAACGCUGGCGGCAGGCCUAACACAUGCAAGUCGAGCGAGCGGCGGACGGGUGAGUAAUGUAUGGGGACUGCCCGAUAGAGGGGGAUAACUACUGGGAACGGUAGCUAAUACCGCAUACUAUCGGAUAACCCAUAUGGGAUUAGCUAGUAGGUGGGGUAAUGGCUCACCUAGGCGACGAUCCCUAGCUGGUCUUAGAGGAUGAUCAGCCACACUGGGACGGGAACACGGCCCAGAUUCCGAGGGAGGCAGCAGGGGGGAAUAUUGCACAAUGGGCGAAAGCCGGAUGCAGCCAUGCCGCGUGGAUGAAGAAGGCCCGAGGGUUGUAAAGUACUUUCAGUCGGGAGGCGUUACCGACAGAAGAAGCACCGGCUAACUCCGUGCCAGCAGCCGCGGUAUUC
rnacentral:rRNA from 1 species